GACUUGAUCCAAAAAUAAUUACUCAAUCAAAUUGAGUUAAUUAGCGAUCAAAUCACUAAUUAAAUCUCUCAUAAAUACUGAGUCCAAAUCCGAUGGGCAAUCAGGUAUCAGAAUUCAUCGAUAUGUAACUUUGAUCGAAAAAUCCCAACCAGUGGGACUCUUGACCCCGGUACCCAUAAUGUGUGGAACUCAUGAUCAGAGAAUCCUGAUUCUCGAUCAUUGAGUUCCAAACAUGUAGGAUUCUACAUCAGCCAUCAAAUCAGAUAGGAACCUCUAAUGUGUGUGACCCCGCAGGUUCAAACCUAAGCCGGUAGCACAGGAACCAAUUCCUGUACUAAUCGAAGUGACCAUCUAGCAAUGGUACCCGAUGUCUGGAUAGGUCAGAGAGUCGCAAUCAUAACACUCAGAACCUACAUGAAUAUAGUUACUGUAUAAUUCAUCCUUUUGACCCCUGUGUUUAGGAUAACUCAGGGUUAAACUGUCAACCCUGAUCAGAUCAUCCGAAUCAUGCUCAACUCAAACAGUCCUGUGACUCCUCACAAGGACUAUCUUGGUCAAGGUUUUGCUAAAUUGAAAUAUGACUAUACACAGCUCCUAAACUGGAGUAGUCAAUCCCAUCUUGAUACACGCACUAACAAGUCAAGUACUUGACUACACCUAGCAACCUUCCGUCACUGAAUUAAAAAUUCAGAUAGUCCAGUGCCUAAGUAUAGUGAGUUGCUUGCAAGUCACCAUGGCGGUCU
rnacentral:lncRNA from 1 species